rnacentral:rRNA from 1 species
GAUUAAGUUAUUAAGGGCGCACGGUGGAUGCCUUGGCACUAGAAGCCGAUGAAGGACGUUACUAACGACGAUAUGCUUUGGGGAGCUGUAAGUAAGCUUUGAUCCAGAGAUUUCCGAAUGGGGAAACCCAACAUGAGUUAUGUCAUGUUAUCGAUAUGUGAAUACAUAGCAUAUCAGAAGGCACACCCGGAGAACUGAAACAUCUUAGUACCCGGAGGAAGAGAAAGAAAAUUCGAUUCCCUUAGUAGCGGCGAGCGAAACGGGAAGAGCCCAAACCAACAAGCUUGCUUGUUGGGGUUGUAGGACACUCUAUACGGAGUUACAAAAGACGACAUUAGACGAAUCAUCUGGAAAGAUGAAUCAAAGAAGGUAAUAAUCCUGUAGUCGAAAAUGUUGUCUCUCUUGAGUGGAUCCUGAGUACGACGGAGCACGUGAAAUUCCGUCGGAAUCUGGGAGGACCAUCUCCUAAGGCUAAAUACUCUCUAGUGACCGAUAGUGAACCAGUACCGUGAGGGAAAGGUGAAAAGCACCCCGGAAGGGGAGUGAAAUAGAACCUGAAACCGUGUGCUUACAAGUAGUCAGAGCCCGUUAAUGGGUGAUGGCGUGCCUUUUGUAGAAUGAACCGGCGAGUUACGAUUUGAUGCAAGGUUAAGCAGUAAAUGUGGAGCCGUAGCGAAAGCGAGUCUGAAUAGGGCGUUUAGUAUUUGGUCGUAGACCCGAAACCAGGUGAUCUACCCUUGGUCAGGUUGAAGUUCAGGUAACACUGAAUGGAGGACCGAACCGACUUACGUUGAAAAGUGAGCGGAUGAACUGAGGGUAGCGGAGAAAUUCCAAUCGAACCUGGAGAUAGCUGGUUCUCUCCGAAAUAGCUUUAGGGCUAGCCUCAAGUGAUGAUUAUUGGAGGUAGAGCACUGUUUGGACGAGGGGCCCCUCUCGGGUUACCGAAUUCAGACAAACUCCGAAUGCCAAUUAAUUUAACUUGGGAGUCAGAACAUGGGUGAUAAGGUCCGUGUUCGAAAGGGAAACAGCCCAGACCACCAGCUAAGGUCCCAAAAUAUAUGUUAAGUGGAAAAGGAUGUGGCGUUGCCCAGACAACUAGGAUGUUGGCUUAGAAGCAGCCAUCAUUUAAAGAGUGCGUAAUAGCUCACUAGUCGAGUGACACUGCGCCGAAAAUGUACCGGGGCUAAACAUAUUACCGAAGCUGUGGAUUGUCCUUUGGACAAUGGUAGGAGAGCGUUCUAAGGGCGUUGAAGCAUGAUCGUAAGGACAUGUGGAGCGCUUAGAAGUGAGAAUGCCGGUGUGAGUAGCGAAAGACGGGUGAGAAUCCCGUCCACCGAUUGACUAAGGUUUCCAGAGGAAGGCUCGUCCGCUCUGGGUUAGUCGGGUCCUAAGCUGAGGCCGACAGGCGUAGGCGAUGGAUAACAGGUUGAUAUUCCUGUACCACCUAUAAUCGUUUUAAUCGAUGGGGGGACGCAGUAGGAUAGGCGAAGCGUGCGAUUGGAUUGCACGUCUAAGCAGUAAGGCUGAGUAUUAGGCAAAUCCGGUACUCAUUAAGGCUGAGCUGUGAUGGGGAGAAGACAUUGUGUCUUCGAGUCGUUGAUUUCACACUGCCGAGAAAAGCCUCUAGAUAGAAAAUAGGUGCCCGUACCGCAAACCGACACAGGUAGUCAAGAUGAGAAUUCUAAGGUGAGCGAGCGAACUCUCGUUAAGGAACUCGGCAAAAUGACCCCGUAACUUCGGGAGAAGGGGUGCUCUUUAGGGUUAACGCCCAGAAGAGCCGCAGUGAAUAGGCCCAAGCGACUGUUUAUCAAAAACACAGGUCUCUGCUAAACCGUAAGGUGAUGUAUAGGGGCUGACGCCUGCCCGGUGCUGGAAGGUUAAGAGGAGUGGUUAGCUUCUGCGAAGCUACGAAUCGAAGCCCCAGUAAACGGCGGCCGUAACUAUAACGGUCCUAAGGUAGCGAAAUUCCUUGUCGGGUAAGUUCCGACCCGCACGAAAGGCGUAACGAUUUGGGCACUGUCUCAACGAGAGACUCGGUGAAAUCAUAGUACCUGUGAAGAUGCAGGUUACCCGCGACAGGACGGAAAGACCCCGUGGAGCUUUACUGUAGCCUGAUAUUGAAAUUCGGCACAGCUUGUACAGGAUAGGUAGGAGCCUUUGAAACGUGAGCGCUAGCUUACGUGGAGGCGCUGGUGGGAUACUACCCUAGCUGUGUUGGCUUUCUAACCCGCACCACUUAUCGUGGUGGGAGACAGUGUCAGGCGGGCAGUUUGACUGGGGCGGUCGCCUCCUAAAAGGUAACGGAGGCGCUCAAAGGUUCCCUCAGAAUGGUUGGAAAUCAUUCAUAGAGUGUAAAGGCAUAAGGGAGCUUGACUGCGAGACCUACAAGUCGAGCAGGGUCGAAAGACGGACUUAGUGAUCCGGUGGUUCCGCAUGGAAGGGCCAUCGCUCAACGGAUAAAAGCUACCCCGGGGAUAACAGGCUUAUCUCCCCCAAGAGUUCACAUCGACGGGGAGGUUUGGCACCUCGAUGUCGGCUCAUCGCAUCCUGGGGCUGUAGUCGGUCCCAAGGGUUGGGCUGUUCGCCCAUUAAAGCGGUACGCGAGCUGGGUUCAGAACGUCGUGAGACAGUUCGGUCCCUAUCCGUCGUGGGCGUAGGAAAUUUGAGAGGAGCUGUCCUUAGUACGAGAGGACCGGGAUGGACAUACCUCUGGUGUACCAGUUGUCGUGCCAACGGCAUAGCUGGGUAGCUAUGUGUGGACGGGAUAAGUGCUGAAAGCAUCUAAGCAUGAAGCCCCCCUCAAGAUGAGAUUUCCCAACUUCGGUUAUAAGAUCCCUCAAAGAUGAUGAGGUUAAUAGGUUCGAGGUGGAAGCAUGGUGACAUGUGGAGCUGACGAAUACUAAUCGAUCGAAGACUUAAUCAA